rnacentral:lncRNA from 1 species
CAAGCACCGCCUGUGAGCCAUGAAUCAGCAUCCCAGAGGCCUUUGGGCAGCACUGAAGCAUUUUUGCAGCCAGACUGGCCUGCAGUCAUUGGGAUGGUGGGUGGAGGUGGAACAAGGCACCCUGCAAGGAGGAGCCUGUGGGUAGAGCUGCAGGCUCUUCUUGGGGAUCAACAGGCCCCAGGCAGGACUUCCAAGACACUUGCAGAAAGGAUUGCUGCAGAAGGCAUGGGUCUUCUGGUUCCUGCUGCCUGGUCAGCAUACCCACGAGCUCACUGAGGAAGGUGAAGUCUCUAGACUUCCACCGAAGCAGGAGCUGGGGGUGGGGAGGGCAUCGACCUGUGAGAUUCAUCAGCCUCCAACUCCAUCUUCGUCUCUGCCCAGCAGCCCCUCUGCGCCCCAGCCUUGAAUUUGCCUUCCUGCCUCCCUCAAAGGCAUUUCUUCCACAUCCUCCCCAAGUGCCUGCGCCUUCCGGUCAGCCCCAUCGUCUUUACCCUGACUGCAGUAGCCUCCAAGCUGAUCUCAGCCACCCUGUCCUUCUUCUCCACUCAAAGCCCUUCCAUGGCUCUUCGGGGCCUGGGUCUGACGCCCUAGCUGGCCAUUUAUGGUCCAGCUCUGCCUGUCUCUCCAAACCUAGCCCUGACUGACUCCCUGGAUGAGUGGGAACAUGGUUUCUGUGCUUGCUGUGUGACCUUGGGCAAGUGACCUACCUUGUCUGAGCCUCACCCUGUCAUGCAAAAAAUUGAAAUAGGGCUGCCGCAAGGGGAGCAGGGUUUCAAAAGUGUGAUUCCAAUGAGUUCAAGCCUGUGGUAUCGAGCCAGGCAUGUAGCUGGUGCUCAAUAAAUGUUGCUACCCUUAUUUAUCACUGCUAUUAUAAAAC